AUCAACUGAUGAGUCCCAAAUAGGACGAAAUGAGCAGCCUGGAU
rnacentral:hammerhead_ribozyme from 1 species